AUGGCCGAUGGGCCCGGGUGGCCUGUCACCCGCGGCGCCACCAGCGGCCCGCGACGCCGGGUCGGAACCCAGGGUGCGGGGGGGCGCUCAACGCCCCCUGAAACUCUCUCCGGCCCACUGCCUCCCUCGGGACCCCCAGCUGCCUCAGUCUUCCCCUCAACACCUCCCCGGAGCCCGCUUCUGAGCCGCCCUACCGGGGCACCCCGCGCUGACGACUCCGGGGACCCGGCGACCCGGCCUCGCCCCACCCCCACCCGGGCCCGGCCCGACCCGACCCGGGCGCUCCAGGAGUUCUCGCCCGCCGCGCAGUCCGGCAGCCCGAGGCAGGGUCCUCACCCGAAGCCGUCUCCGCGGCAUGCAGGCAGGCAGGCGGCACGAGCCGAGGCCGGAGGCAGGAGGCAGACGCGAGCGGGAAGCCGGGAGGCGGGAGACGGCGGCGGGCCGAGCGCGCGGCGGUGGCGGGAUCCGCGCCUGCCCCCUACACCGCGCUGGCGGCCGAGCCGGCUGCUCCUGCGCCCGGCUAAGAGCGGGACAUUUAAAAAUCCCAGCGCGCGGAACCGGCCCCCGGACCGCCCUCGCGCCCUCCCGCCACCCUCCGCUCCGCCCCGGCCGGCUCGGAGCCCCUCAGCUACAGCCAGAGGGCUCGGCCCCGCCCAGCCACCGCCCUCAGGACCGCCCUGCGCGCCGCAGGCCCGCCCAGGCGCUCAGGCUCGCCCGGGGCGGGGCCAGCGCGGGGCGGAGCUAAAUGACAGGGCCUGCGCGCCGGAGGGGAGGGGCCCUGGGGCCGUGCGCCCCAGCUGCGGAGCCCGCGCGGGGCGGGACGCGGGGGCCGGCUGGCGCGCGCGGUGGGGCGGGGCUGCGCAGGCCGGGUCGCGGGGGAGGUCUGGCGCGAGAGCGGCGGAGGGGCGGGUCGCGGGGCUCUGGGGGCGGAGCCGAGCGGCGCUGGAGCGGCAAAAAGCCGCGUGGCCGGCGCUGGUGGAAUGUAAACACGGCGGGCGGCGAGGCUUCGGUCCCCGACUGAGGGGUCGGGCCACUAGACCUGAAGUCCGUAGGCCUGCAGCGCCCGCGCACUGUCUCUCCUUGCACGUCCUCCCCGCCCCUGAGACGCAGGUUUCCGGGCCCUGAGUCAGGGUGGGAUGUGCCCAAGGUCACAGCGCAUGGUCACAGAGCCUAGAACCAGGGCCUCAGGCCGCCAGACCGGGGGCCGCCUGUGGAACAGCUGUUACUCCUGGACGUGCGUCCAUCCAUCUGUCCAUGCGUGCGUGUGUUCAUUCAGCUAAUAGUCUAGCACCUUACCUUCCAUGUGUGCCUUUCGCCACAGACUUUCUCCUGAGGAUCGGAAGACCUUUUUGAUGCUGGGAUUCCAUGCGGCCCUCUUUACCUUAAGCAUUUACUUAAGCAGGCAGUAAAAUCAAAUCCACACUCCAUGCCACUCCACGUGGACCUACCCUCAACCCCUCUCAGACCUUUCCUUCAACUGCCUCCCAUCAGAGCUCCUCUGGCCAUCCUCUGUCCUUUCUCAUCUCGGGACCUUGGAAUUUGUUGUCCCUAGCUCCGGCUCCUUGCAGCUACAUCUUUUCUGAGAAUUUCCAGGUCUUCCCCAGGAGUUCCUCUCCACCACAUUGCCCUGCUGUGGCUCCUUCACAGCACUUGCUGCCAUAUGUCUCUUGUCCGUGUUUGGUACUCUUCUCCCUGCCUUGUCUGUCUUGUUCACUGCUGUAUCCCCCAGAUCUUGGCAUAGUGCCUGGAGGAAGGGAGGCACGUCAAUCUUAUUUGUGAAGGAAUGCUUGAAAAACAUGGUGACCAAGCCCUUGUGGAUUUUACAGGCUAAGGAGACAAGUAUUGACUAUCAUCACUUGAAAGUACCUACUGUACUAAACUUCUAGAAAAUACAUAUAGCACAGGGCUCCUAAACACUCUCAAGACCCUUCCUGAUUUACAGUCUCAGUCUUGGGCCUCCUCCCUCCAUGACCGUCUUUUUGCAGUUAGAGCCUGGAUCUUACUGGAGGACACAGUUUGUGUCAUCCUCAGAGGCCCCUCCUAGCAGAUUCUUGCCCUUCCAGGGCUCUGAGGUCAAGGCUGCUGAAAUGUCUUGCUCAGAUUGGCUUAGGUAGGCAUGGAACCCAGGCUCCUAAAUUCCCAGCCUUGUGCCCUUAGGUAGUAACAAUAAUGGGUAUCACAAACAUUUCAAAAAUAACAGCUUUGUCC
rnacentral:lncRNA from 1 species